rnacentral:rRNA from 1 species
UGGGGAAUUUUGGACAAUGGGCGAAAGCCUGAUCCAGCAAUGCCGCGUGUGUGAAGAAGGCCUUCGGGUUGUAAAGCACUUUUGUCCGGAAAGAAAUCCUUGGCUCUAAUACAGUCGGGGGAUGACGGUACCGGAAGAAUAAGCACCGGCUAACUACGUGCCAGCAGCCGCGGUAAUACGUAGGGUGCAAGCGUUAAUCGGAAUUACUGGGCGUAAAGCGUGCGCAGGCGGUUUGCUAAGACCGAUGUGAAAUCCCCGGGCUCAACCUGGGAACUGCAUUGGUGACUGGCAGGCUAGAGUAUGGCAGAGGGGGGUAGAAUUCCACGUGUAGCAGUGAAAUGCGUAGAGAUGUGGAGGAAUACCGAUGGCGAAGGCAGCCCCCCUGGGGCCAAUACUGACGCUCAUGCACGAAAGCGUGGGGGAGCAAACAGGAUUAGAUACCCUGGUAGUCCACGCCCUAAACGAUGUCAACUAGUUGUUGGGGAUUCAUUUCCUUAGUAACGUAGCUAACGCGUGAAGUUGACCGCCUGGGGAGUACGGUCGCAAGAUUAAAACUCAAAUGAAUUGACGGGGUCAUAGCUGUUUCCU